rnacentral:rRNA from 1 species
AUUGAACGCUGGCGGCAUGCCUUACACAUGCAAGUCGAACGGUAACGCGGGGCAACCUGGCGACGAGUGGCGAACGGGUGAGUAAUGUAUCGGAACGUGCCCAGUUGUGGGGGAUAACUGCUCGAAAGAGCAGCUAAUACCGCAUACGACCUGAGGGUGAAAGCGGGGGAUCGCAAGACCUCGCGCAAUUGGAGCGGCCGAUAUCAGAUUAGGUAGUUGGUGGGGUAAAGGCCUACCAAGCCGACGAUCUGUAGCUGGUCUGAGAGGACGACCAGCCACACUGGGACUGAGACACGGCCCAGACUCCUACGGGAGGCAGCAGUGGGGAAUUUUGGACAAUGGGGGCAACCCUGAUCCAGCCAUGCCGCGUGCGGGAAGAAGGCCU